rnacentral:rRNA from 1 species
AGAGUUUGAUCCGUGGCUCAGGACGAACGCUGGCGGCGUGCUUAAUACAUGCAAGUCGAACGAGGUAUAGCAAUAUACCGAGUGGCGAACGGGUGAGUAACACGUGAGCAACCUGCCCUAUACAGGGGGACAACAGCUGGAAACGGCUGCUAAUACCGCAUAAGACCACAGCACCGCAUGGUGCAGGGGUAAAAGGCUACGGUCGGUAUAGGAUGGGCUCGCGUACUAUUAGCUAGUUGGUGAGAUAACAGCCCACCAAGGCUUCGAUAGUUAGCCGACCUGAGAGGGUGAUCGGCCACAUUGGAACUGAGACACGGUCCAGACUCC